GCUGGACCCACUGCAGUCCUCCUGACACACUGAAAUCAGAGCCUGCACACAGAGCAGCAGAUGCUUCAAUGUAAAGCUAUGUGUUCCAAGAUUACUGAAGCAGGAUUCUGGCCUUCCUGAUAAGAACAUGACCAGAUCCAGCUGGUUUGCAACAAGAUGAACUUCAGUGCUGAGCUUUCACCAAGUUUUUCUCACUACAAUCUCAUUGUAAUACUAAAAUCUCCACCCAAGAUGGAGGUUAUCUGCCAUUUUCUGUACAUGUGUUACCAGAAAGGGGUCCUGAUCCAGACCCCAAAAGAGGGUUCUUGGAUCUCACGCAACAAAGAGUUCGGGGCGAGUCCAUAGAGUAAAGUGAAAGCAAGUUCAUCAAGAAAGCAAAGGAAUAAAGAAUGCCUACUCCAUAGGCAGAGCAGUGGCUUUGGCUGCUCAGCUGCUUGUACUUGUUACUUCUUGAGUAUAUGCUAAACAAGGGAUUGAUUACUCCUUGUUUAGCAGUUUUCUGGGAAAGGAGUGGGCAAUUCCCAGAACUGAGGGUUCCUCCCCUUUUUAGACCAUAUAGGGUGACUUCCUGAUGUUGCCAUGGCAUUUGUAAACUGUCAUGGCGCUAGUGGGAGUGUCUUUUAGCAUGCUAAUGCAUGAGCAGUGAGGAUGACCCGAGGUCAUUUUUGUUACCAUCUUGGUUUUGGUGGGUUUUGGCUGGUUUUGGCCGGCUUCUUUACCACUUCUUUUUAUCAGCAAGGUCUUUGUGACCUGUACUUAGUGCCGACUUCCUGUCUCAUCCUGUGAGUAAGAAUGCCUAAUCUCUCAGGAAUGCAGCCCAGUAGGUCUCAACCUUAUUUUACCCAGCCCCCAUUCAAGAUGGAGUGACUCUGGUUCAAAUGCCUCUGACACAUGUGCCUCAUGUUUGGGCAUGAGACCUCACUGUGUAGGUGCAGAGAAGACCCUGCCUAAACAUUGCCUACACGUUGCUCCUUUUUCCUGCCUCAACUUCCUUAAAAUGACAAGAGCAGAGCCCUUUUGGGAGCUAACAUCAG
rnacentral:lncRNA from 10 species